UGUGGGAGCUGGCUUGCCUGCGAUAACGGUGUAUCAGUCGCACAUGUGUGGGCUGACACGCUGCUAUCGCAGGCAAGCCAGCUCCCACA
rnacentral:misc_RNA from 1 species